rnacentral:snoRNA from 15 species
ACGCAAUGAUGAGUGAAGUAUAGUCUGACCUGGUAUUGCCUUGGCUUCUGUUUUGGCUCUGACCAGGGCAUGAUCACUUAAUCUUCUCUCUGAGCUA